AGCCUCCUUGUGCUUACCACAGGGUAUGUUCUUACACUGACUAUAUAGAAAGAGGAAGCAGAAUGAACCUACCCCAUGUACCCCAGCCGUUGUGCCUCAUCUGUAUUGUGAAUGGGGAGACAUGG